UGUAUGCACGACUGUAAAUCACUUUGGAUAAAAGCAUUUGCUAAAUGGCAUAUA
rfam:Salmo salar isolate Sally breed double haploid chromosome ssa14, whole genome shotgun sequence.